rnacentral:rRNA from 1 species
CUCCGGUUGAUCUUGCCGGACCUGACUGCUAUCGGAUUGGUACUAAGCCAUGCUAGUCGUUGUAGCAAUACAAGGCGGACGGCUCAGUAACACGUAGUCAACCUAACCUAUGGACGUGGAUAACCUCGGGAAACUGAGAAUAAACCGCGAUAGAUCAUUAUGCCUGGAAUGGCUUAUGGUUCAAACAAUUUAUUGCCGUAGGAUGGGACUGCGGCCUAUCAGCUUGUUGGCGGGGUAAUGGCCCACCAAACCUGUAACCGGUACGGGCCUUGAGAGAGGUGGCCCGGAGAUGGACACUGAGAGAAGGGUCCAGGUCCUACGGGGCGCAGCAGGCGCGAAACCUUCGCAAUGCGCGAAAGCGUGACGAGGUUAAUCCGAGUGACUCCCGCUGAGGGGGUCUUUUGUCAGCUGUAAAUAGGCAGGCGAAUAAGGGGAGGGCAAGCCUGGUGUCAGCCGCCGCGGUAAUACCAGCUCCUCGAGUGGUCGGGGCGAUUAUUGGGCCUAAAGCAUCCGUAGCCGGUUCCGUAGGUCCUCUGUUAAAUCCAACCGCUCAACGGUUGACCUGCAGAGGAUACCGCGGGACUAGGAGGCGGGAGAGGCGGACGGUACUCCGCGUGUAGGGGUAAAAUCCUUUGAUCCGCGGAAGACCACCAGUGGCGAAGGCGGUCCGCCAGAACGCGCUCGACGGUGAGGGAUGAAAGCUGGGGGAGCGAACCGGAUUAGAUACCCGGGUAGUCCCAGCCGUAAACGAUGCUAGCUAGAUGAUUCAUUCGCAAGUCGCGAAUGAAGUGUCGCAGGGAAGCCGUUAAGCUAGCCGCCUGGGGAGUACGGUCGCAAGACUGAAACUUAAAGGAAUUGGCGGGGGGAGCA